rnacentral:rRNA from 1 species
GACGAACCGUGCGAACGUUGUUCGGAAUCACUGGGCUUAAAGGGCGCGUAGGCGGACCUCCAAGUCCGGGGUGAAAUCUUUCGGCUUAACCGGAAAAGUGCCUUGGAUACUGGGGGUCUCGAGGGAGGCAGGGGCGGAUGGAACUUCCGGUGGAGCGGUGAAAUGCGUUGAUAUCGGAAGGAACACCAGUGGCGAAAGCGGCUUCCUGGUCCAGCACCGACGUCAGGCACGAAAGCGUGGGGAGCAAACAGG